rnacentral:rRNA from 1 species
GACGAACGCUGGCGGCGUGCUUAACACAUGCAAGUCGAACGGAAAGGCCCUGCUUUUGUGGGGUGCUCGAGUGGCGAACGGGUGAGUAACACGUGAGUAACCUGCCCUUGACUUUGGGAUAACUUCAGGAAACUGGGGCUAAUACCGGAUAGGAGCUCCUGCUGCAUGGUGGGGGUUGGAAAGUUUCGGCGGUUGGGGAUGGACUCGCGGCUUAUCAGCUUGUUGGUGGGGUAGUGGCUUACCAAGCCUUUGACGGGUAGCCGGCCUGAGAGGGUGACCGGCCACAUUGGGACUGAGAUACGGACCAGACUCCUACGGGAGGCAGCAGUGGAGAAUAUUGCACAAUGGGCGGAAGCCUGAUGCAGCAACGCCGCGUGCGGGAUGACGGCCUUCGGGUUGUAAACCGCUUUCGCCUGUGACGAAGCGUGAGUGACGGUAAUGGGUAAAGAAGCACCGGCUAACUACGUG